AAAUUGUUUUUUAUUCUGUUUAGGACCACGACCGGUCAGCUAGCUUCCAUUUUCAUUACAAUAAGCUAGCACAUGAAAACAGCGAAUUCGAGUUCCACGUGCACCAAUAUGGCGACCUUUCCGACGAUUGUGCAAAUGUCGGUGGACAUUACGAUCCUUAUCACGAUAAUGAUGUAGGUGACUUGGGGACACUACAGUCUGGUAAAGAUGGUGCUAUGGAUGCAUGGAAGAAUGAAACUCACCUGACAUUGUUCGGAGAGUAUUCUAUUGUUGGUAGAAGUAUAAUGGUACAUGACGAACAUAAACACGUGUCGUGUUGUACGAUUGGCUGGAGUCCAGAGACACAUGACCAUGAUGAGGAUCACAGUCACGCCCACGAUCACUCCGCCCACGAUCACUCGGCGCAUGACCACUCCCACACCGAUGGUCACUCCCACAGACAUUAAA